rnacentral:lncRNA from 1 species
CGCCUCCCGGGGAUCUGUGUAUGACAGGGCGUUAGCUUCAAACGAGCCACUCGGCAUACAGGUAGUCUCGCUGCAAAUGUAUUCAUAGGUAUUUCUUUCUCCCGUGAGUCCCGGUAAGAUCCGCUCCCCGAUUUUGAUUCUACCAGAGGAGCAGUUCCUUAUUGUUUUUGUCCAGAUCCGUUCCUACAGCUGUGCAGCAAGCCAGAAAGAAAUCGUUGUUUGUAAUGGAUCAUAGUCCGCAUGUUGGCUCAUUGCUUGCAUGAUCUUUCUUUUAUCUUGUUUUCUUUCAUUUCCCUCUGGACUACUUGACACACAUGCGCUGAGUUACUUAUGAAAAAGCCGUCUACUCAUUUCAUUGUUAGCGAGUAGGUGGCAGCUAAAUAGAGCCUCGUGUCUCCAUCGGGGUACCCCAUCUGACCGAUAUAUGAGGCCCGCGGACUCACGUUUUACCCUUGACGAGUUAUGGGUAACCUAGAUCUGAUUGAACGUAGGGAUCUAAAUAAUGGACGUACAAUACAUUCUAAGUUGAUCCAGGAAAUGUAAAAGACUUGAUAAAUUGGGCCAUACUUCUCGUUACGGACUGCCCCCGCUGUCUCCCGGUGAACUACUAAUAGGCGAAAGAGUUAUCAAACAAUGAAAGAAAGGGACAGUUAAAAGAGACUUUUUGAGCUCAUUAUCAGUCACUUAAACAACUUCAAGAACAUCUGCGCAACUUAUUCACACAAUAUCCCCUGCACGCUCUCAGAGGAGAACCCAAUUCCCCAGGUGUGGCGUGCGGUUUAUGGAGGGGGAGGAGACAAGAACGAGAACAUACUUUCAUUUUUUUGAAAUGUCUUAGCUGCUGCUCGAUCGUGUAUAACGUCCCAACAUUCAUUACUAAGUAUCCGUUCAUGUACGAGGCGGAACAGGUAAUAACCUGCCACUUAUAGAGUGACCGCUUUAUUUAUCUUUCUAGACGAACCAACAACGGGCCGGUAAGGUUUUGCGCUUCUUCUGUAUUGGGACGCCACUCGUAAAAGG